rnacentral:rRNA from 1 species
UACGUAGGGUGCAAGCGUUGUCCGGAAUUAUUGGGCGUAAAGAGCUCGUAGGUGGCUUGUCACGUCGGGUGUGAAAUCCCAGGGCUUAACUCUGGGUCUGCAUUCGAUACGGGCUGGCUAGGGUCCUUCAGGGGAGACUGGAAUUCCUGGUGUAGCGGUGAAAUGCGCAGAUAUCUGGAGGAACACCGGUGGCGAAGGCGGCAUCCUGGACCGGCAUUGACGCUGAGGCGCGGAAAGCCAGGGGAGCAAAGCGGG